rnacentral:rRNA from 1 species
GGGCACAAGUGCUUAUCCGCUGUGAGUUCUCGGGGGUCGAUUUUGGAUUCCUGGGGGCUGAGGGCUCCCCUUCAUGGGUGAGGACAGCGGAGUGACGACGCGAUACGACCCGUCUUGAAACACGGACCAAGGAGUCUAGCGCGGGUGCGAGUCGGAGGGUGCAAGCCCGUGGGCGAAGUGAAAGCGAGUGUAAAAACGAGCAGUUUGGGGCGGCAUAAGAUCGUUGAUCUUAAGACCGACCCAGAGCAGUUGCGCUGGGACCCGAAAGAUGGUGAACUAUGCCGGAGUAGGGCAAAGCCAGAGGAAACUCUGGUGGAGGCUCGUAGCGGUGCUGACGUGCAAAUCGCUCGUCGAACUUGGGUAUAGGGGCGAAAGACUAAUCGAACCAUCUAGUAGCUGGUUCCCUCCGAAGUUUCUCUCAGGAUAGCGGGCCGACAAGUUGUUUUGUGCGGUAAAGCGAAUGAUUAGCGCAAUCGGGGGCGUUUAGCCUUUGGGCGAUUCUCAAACUUUCAAUGCGCAAGGGUGCCGCUGCUUAAUUGAGCGGUACCGGUAAAAACGUCGGCCCUGUGGGCCACUUUUGGUAAGCAGAACUGGCGAUACGGGAUGAACCGUAAGCAAGGUUAAGGCGCCAAACUGCCCGCUUAUAGACCCCACAAAAGGUGUUGAUUCAUCGAGACAGCAGGACGGUGGCCAUGGAAGUCGGAAUCCGCCAAGGAGUGUGUAACAACUCACCUGCCGAAUGAAUUAGCCCUGAAAAUGGAUGGCGCUGAAGCGGGCGGCCGACACCUUGCCGUCUGAACAAGAAUUUCAGAUGAGUAGGAGGGCGUGGCGGCCGUGUCGAAGCGCGCGUGCAGACGCGUGUGGAACGGCCGCUAGUGCAGAUCUUGGUGGUAGUAGCAAGUAUUCAAGCGAGAUCCUUGAAGGGCGAAGUGGGGAAGGGUUUCACGCGAACAUUGAUUGGGCGUGAGUGAGUCGUUCCUAAGCCGAGUGGCAAUUGCUAAUUAACGGCGAAAGGGAAGCGGGUUGACAUUCCCGCACACGGAUGUG